CCUACGGGAGGCAGCAGUAGGGAAUUUUCGGCAAUGGGGGGAACCCUGACGGAGCAACGCCGCGUGAACGCAGAAGUUAUUCGUAAUGUAAAGCUCUUUUAACAGGGAAGAAAGAGAAAUUUGACGGUACCUGAAGAAUAAGCUCCGGCUAACUACGUGCCAGCAGCCGCGGUAAUACGUAGGGGGCGAGCGUUAUCGGGAAUUAUGGGGCGUAAAGGGUGCGUAGAUGCAAUAGAAAGUCUUUGGUAAAAAUGCUGGGCUCAACCCAGUAGGGCAAAAGAUACUGGAAAGCUAGAGUAUGACAGAGGCAAGUGGAACUACAUGUGUAGCGGUAAAAUGCGUAAAGAUAUGUAAGAACACCAGUGGCGAAGGCGGCUUGCUGGGUCGAUACUGACAUUGAGGCACGAAAGCGUGGGGAGCAAACAGGAUUAGAUACCCUUGUAGUC
rnacentral:rRNA from 1 species